rnacentral:lncRNA from 1 species
GACCGUUUUGGUAAUCGCUAUGUUGAUGAUCGUUAUGAUGGUGGCCACUAUGCUGAUGAUCGUUAUGGUGGUGGGCGCGAUCGCUAUCCUCCAGCUGCUGAUCGUUUUUCUGGCGACAGAUAUGGUGGUGGUGAUCGUUAUGCAUCAGCUGGCUUUGCCAGGGAAAGAAGCUAUGAGAGAGAUGGAGGGCGGACAGGUGGAAGUUAUUACCGUGAUGAACCUAGAGGCACUGGUGGUUAUGGCAGGGGUGGUCCACGUGUGGCGAAUGGUGACAGAUAUGGGAGUGGUGGACCUGCUCGCCUUGGCGCAAGUUACCGAGAUAGGCCUGCUCCCUAUGAUCGUCCCACUCGGGGUGCUCGCUCAUAUGAUGACCGCUACUGAUGGAAGGUCACCUUGGAGCAGACCGGAGAUUUAAUACAAGAUUCAAUUCCCAGUUGCUACCACCUACUUUAUUUGUGUCCACUAUGUUGAUGCUUCAACUCUCAAGUAUCAUUCUUUCAAGCAGUUUGUUUAGUUACUUCAGUCCAUAUGGCAGUACUUAAUUAUUAUUAUUAUUAUUAUGGUCAAACUGUACACUCUAGGCAAUGGGCGACACCUGUUGCUUAUUGUUAUGGUAUUGUGUAACUACUCUGCAGUCUUAAGUUUGAGUUGUACUACUGUUUUAGUUUUGACUCAUCUGGUGUUGUCGGCAUUGUCAAUCUUUGAGACUGCAGUGCCACAUUCUGCCAAUCUCUUGACAAAUAUUGGACCUGCUUAUCUGAUGUCAG